GUCUUCUCUUUGGCCACAAACCCUUCUAUGACGCAAUAUAUUACAGUGGUUAGCAUCACACAGGCUUUGAAGUCCGACUGCCUUGAUUCAAACCAAACCUGCAUUCUUGCUCCACUCCUUAUUAACUCUGUGAACUUAGGCUAAUUGAUUAAACUUUCUGUGCUUCAGUUUCGUCAUCAGAAACACAGGGGUAAUAAUGGGCUUAAUUAUGGGGUUGUUGUGAAGAUUAAUGGAAUCAAUAUAAGCACAGUGCUUGGAAUGGUGCCUAGAACAUGGCUUCUUUAGUCCACUUAACAACAUCUAUAAUAAAAUAAAUUUCCUCUUCUGAGAAGAAGGCACUAUAUCACGAGAUACUUCGGUGGAGAAUUUUCGCUCACUGGGACCUCAUGAGAAAGUUGUAAAAAGCCCCCAGCAGAGACAGGAGUAGCAGACUCAAAUUCUACAGAAGUUAUGCAGAGCGUGAGGCAGCUCUGGAGGGAGAUGCGUUGUAAGCGAAUAUUAUACCUGCGUAAUUAUGCUGCCGUACAAAGCACCGUAUAUGCCAAAUAAAGUCACCCAACAAUA